UGGGGAAUCUUGCACAAUGGGCGAAAGCCUGAUGCAGCGACGCCGCGUGCGGGACGAAGGCCUUCGGGUUGUAAACCGCUUUCAGCAGGGACGAGGCGAAAGUGACGGUACCUGCAGAAGAAGCCCCGGCUAACUACGUGCCAGCAGCCGCGGUAAUACGUAGGGGGCAAGCGUUAUCCGGAUUCAUUGGGCGUAAAGCGCUCGUAGGCGGUCUGUUAGGUCGGGAGUUAAAUCCGGAGGCUCAACCUCCGUUCGCUCCCGAUACCGGCAGACUUGAGUUUGGUAGGGGAAGGUGGAAUUCCUAGUGUAGCGGUGGAAUGCGCAGAUAUUAGGAAGAACACCAGUGGUGAAGGCGGCCUUCUGGGCCAUAACUGACGCUGAGGAGCGAAAGCUAGGGGAGCAAACAGGAUUAGAUACCCUGGUAGUCCUAGCUGUAAACGAUGGACACUAGGUGUGGGAGAAUACGUCUUCCGUGCCGCAGCUAACGCAUUAAGUGUCCCGCCUGGGGAGUACGGCCGCAAGGCUA
rnacentral:rRNA from 1 species